CCUACGGGUUGCAGCAGUGGGGAAUAUUGCACAAUGGGCGCAAGCCUGAUGCAGCCAUGCCGCGUGUGUGAAGAAGGCCUUCGGGUUGUAAAGCACUUUCAGCGGGGAGGAAGGCGGUGAGGUUAAUAACCUCACCGAUUGACGUUACCCGCAGAAGAGGCACCGGCUAACUCCGUGCCAGCAGCCGCGGUAAUACGGAGGGUGCAAGCGUUAAUCGGAAUUACUGGGCGUAAAGCGCACGCAGGCGGUCUGUCAAGUCGGAUGUGAAAUCCCCGGGCUCAACCUGGGAACUGCAUUCGAAACUGGCAGGCUAGAGUCUUGUAGAGGGGGGUAGAAUUCCAGGUGUAGCGGUGAAAUGCGUAGAGAUCUGGAGGAAUACCGGUGGCGAAGGCGGCCUGCCGGACAUUAACUGACGCUGAGGAGCGAAAGCGUGGGGAGCAAACAGGAUUAGAUACCCGCGUAGUC
rnacentral:rRNA from 1 species